rnacentral:hammerhead_ribozyme from 15 species
AACUGGUCGUGAUAUGGAGUCGAUCUCCUGAUGAGCCCAGGGCAUGGCGAAACCAAUU